rnacentral:rRNA from 1 species
AAUACAUGCAAGUCGAACGCACUCUCGUUUAGAUUGAAGGAGCUUGCUCCUGAUUGAUAAACAUUUGAGUGAGUGGCGGACGGGUGAGUAACACGUGGGUAACCUGCCCUAAAGUGGGGGAUAACAUUUGGAAACAGAUGCUAAUACCGCAUAAAACCUAACACCGCAUGGUGUAGGGUUGAAAGAUGGUUUCGGCUAUCACUUUAGGAUGGACCCGCGGUGCAUUAGUUAGUUGGUGAGGUAAAGGCUCACCAAGACCGUGAUGCAUAGCCGACCUGAGAGGGUAAUCGGCCACACUGGGACUGAGACACGGCCCAGACUCCUACGGGAGGCAGCAGUAGGGAAUCUUCCACAAUGGACGAAAGUCUGAUGGAGCAACGCCGCGUGAGUGAAGAAGGUUUUCGGAUCGUAAAACUCUGUUGUUGGAGAAGAAUGUAUCUGAUAGUAACUGAUCAGGUAGUGACGGUAUCCAACCAGAAAGCCACGGCUAACUACGUGCCAGCAGCCGCGGUAAUACGUAGGUGGCAAGCGUUGUCCGGAUUUAUUGGGCGUAAAGCGAGCGCAGGCGGUUUCUUAAGUCUGAUGUGAAAGCCUUCGGCUCAACCGAAGAAGUGCAUCGGAAACUGGGAAACUUGAGUGCAGAAGAGGACAGUGGAACUCCAUGUGUAGCGGUGAAAUGCGUAGAUAUAUGGA